rnacentral:rRNA from 1 species
CGGGUGAGUAACACGUGGAUAAUCUACCCAGUAAUCCGGGAUAACAUUUCGAAAGGAAUGCUAAUACUUGAUAAGCCUACGCACUCUUCGGAGAGAGUAGGAAAAGGUGGGGACCUUCGGGCCUACCGUUACUGGAUGAGUCCACGGCCCAUUAGCUAGUUGGUAGGGUAAUGGCCUACCAAGGCAACGAUGGGUAGCUGGUCUGAGAGGAUGAUCAGCCACACUGGAACUGAGACACGGUCCAG